CGGCCCGCCCUCCUUCCUUCCUGCCUUCCUUCCUCCCUCCCUCCCUCACCGCACCGCCCGCCCUUUCCUGCGCCCGCCUUCCCCCGCAGCCGGCGCGGGACAGGAUGGGACAGGACGGGACGGGGAGAAAUAGCCCAGUCACGGACUGGAGCCUAUGAGGAGUCCCUGGGGGCAGGGUGGGGUGGGGAAGCUAUCGGCAGUCUUGGGGAGGGUACCUCGCGCUCCGUCAGGGACGAUCUCAAAUCUCCGCUGCCUUCCUCCUUUCAGGCUAGUUGGAAUGCAAAAGAUCUAUGUAAAUGUAUCCUCUGACUGCAGCUGCUGUGGAAAAAGAAGAAAUUAUAAGGAAGGUAAGAAACUUUGCUUUGAUGAUUUCUCAUUAGAGGUUUCACUUCCUUAACCAUCCCAUCUCACCAUCCUCCUUGUCCCACUGGUGAUGUGGCAUGCAGAAUGCUGACUCAGGAGUACAUGCCCCAGAUUCUCCUCCUUACUGCCUUUUUUGCUUACAUGUCAUUGCCUGCUUUGCUCCAAUCCCAGACCUUCCAGUGUCAUUCAGCACAUCUCCUCUCUCUUUGGGAUAAAAAGUGUGAAGCAACAGAAAGUACAAGAAUUUGCAGCAUAGCAAGUCUGUAGUUUCACUAGGCAGAGCAAGGCAGAGCCAGUACCACACCACAUCCUUGUUACUCCAGUGCCCUCUGCCGAAGUAACCAUCUCCUUGGCUUCUGAGUCCUGCUGGGCAGGGGCAGGAGCCUCUGCCAAGUGCCAUAUGCUGCCACCUCUUUAUCUUACACUUUACUUCCUUGGUAUAUUUCCUUUUCUAUUCUGUCUCAACAGAAAAGCAGAAAUAUGACCCCUUACUUCCUUUUCUUGCUCCAGUGGGACUUAGGUUGAAGUUUGUUCUUUUCAUUCAUAGCAUUGCUGCAUCACAUUUUACAGCAGCCUCUUAGUGAGCUUAGGAAGGUAACAUAUAUGUUGGGAUGAUAAACAAUUAAGACAAUUAUAUUUUAUAAGAAUUCCAGCGUGUGUGUGUAUAUAAAGCUGAAAAUCACCUAAAUUAACAAUGUAAUUUUUGUUCCUUUCUGGGAAGUUUACUCAUGUACUAUAAAACUGGGAGAAAAUGAGAGACAGGUAAGGCGAUACAGUCAGUACCUUUGUUUAGCUGCAUGUAAACCCACAGCUUACUCUCAUUUUGCAGGAGAAGCUAAAUUGUAAAGGUUAAGCAACUUUUCAUGUUCACACAGCAAGCAGUGGCAAGAUAAGGAGUCUGGUCUCCUGUUCCAACCACUAGACCUUGUACAUCCUCCAUUCUCAUGCAAGUUACAGUAAUUACAUUAAGACUAAACUGCCAUCUGAAUAAUUUUUCCAAUUGAAUUUCCGGGGAAAGCACUCUUACCACAUGUAAAAGGUAGGAAUGUCUUACAUCUCUGUAGUCACAUCACAUUUCUGCAAUAAAAGAAAAUGUGCUGAUGAUUUCCUGGAAUUAUCCUUGCUUUGUGUUAUCCAUAAAGACUCCAAGUUUGGUACUGGUUGAUUUGAGAACACAAGACUUCCCCAGUGCAUCUUCCAAGAAAUAGGACUGUCAAUUCCCACAGGAAAAUCAAGGGCCAACCUUAGCUAAUCCUAACACAUGAAUAAAUGCAUAAAGCAUGUUUGGGUGUUUUUAUAUUAGUGUGGAUCUCAAGGAUCUGCUGCUUAUUCAGAUCUCAGUUCUCAGAGAUUUUAUUUAAAAAGUAUAUUGUUCAGGUAAUGGCAGAGGGACAUGUUUUAUACUCCUCAGUGGCUUUUCAAAAGAGAUAGAAACAAAAAUCAAUUUUAUAAUACACAAAUAUAUAUUUAAUAUAUGUAUUUAUAUAUAUAUAUAUGUAGCUGCAGCAUAUGCUUGAUAAACAGCUCACAAAAUAUUAUUUUCAGUGAAAACCCGUCAAAAUUUGUUUAGGUGGGCUGAGAUUACUUUUUGGAGAUCAUAGCUGUAUGGUAAUUUCUGUUAGUCUUUUACCAGGUUCUAUAUACCAUUUCUUCUCUGUCAGGCACACAUGCAAGCCCCUGUGGAUACAAAAAUGCUGCUAGCAAGAAUUUUCUUGCUAUUUUGUAAGUCCAUGAGAGACUUUUCUCUCUCACAGAAAAUAGUAGCAGAGUUCUAUAAACAAUGAAACACCUGCAACCUUGAGAAGCCUUGUUUAUAGUAUAGUAGAACAAUAUUUUGACAGCGGAUGUUUUAAGAUUUUAGCCAAUCACCCCCAAGGGGUGGCUGAUCCUUUGUCCAAUUAGACUAUGAAGAAAAAAGUCUAUAAAAGAGUUUGUAAAAUAAUUAAAUAAAUCAAUCUUGCUUCACAGUUCCUGCCAGCUGGAUCUUCUCCCCUCCUCCCUACGGCUGCGGGACAUGGUAAUAUUUUACAGCAUUAAUAAACCCCCACCUUUUUUAUAAGAAUUUCCUCCUCCAGUUUUAAAUUUCUUUUCAGCACAGUAUUCUCAGUUUCCUCCCAUUACUCUACUGGUAAAAAGCUGUUAAACAUCAUUCCAGCAGUUCAAUUUCAGCAGGAAACACUGAAAUUUCUGUAUUGUAAAUGUACAGUACAGUUUAUUCCUGUUGUGUAUGUUCUUCUGGUUUUGGUAAAUUUUCAUCAAGAAUUACAUCAUUAAUCCUAGCAUUUAAGGAUUUUUUUUAAAUUUGACAUUUCAACUGUUAUUUUUUUGAAAUUGCUUAAGAAGAAGACAGAUUUUGUAAGAAGAAGUUGCUAUCUUUUCAUUGUCUAUAAAAGAUUUUUUUCAAGCUUUCUCAGAGGCUUUUAUAAUCUGACAUGCCAUAAUGAUGUUCCCUACUCUUCUUUGAUUCUAGCAGGUGAAGGAAACAGCAUUUACAGAA